rnacentral:rRNA from 1 species
UACGGAGGGUGCAAGCGUUAUCCGGAUUCACUGGGUUUAAAGGGUGCGUAGGCGGGCAGGUAAGUCAGUGGUGAAAUCUCCGAGCUUAACUCGGAAACUGCCAUUGAUACUAUUUGUCUUGAAUAUUGUGGAGGUAAGCGGAAUAUGUCAUGUAGCGGUGAAAUGCUUAGAUAUGACAUAGAACACCAAUUGCGAAGGCGGCUUACUACACAAUGAUUGACGCUGAGGCACGAAAGCGUGGGGAUCAAACAGG